rnacentral:rRNA from 1 species
GCCAGAGGGGGCAAGCGUUGUUCGGAAUUACUGGGCGUAAAGGGCGCGUAGGCGGCCAUCUAAGUCAGACGUGAAAUCCCCCGGCUUAACCUGGGAACUGCGUCUGAUAUUGGACGGCUUGAGUAUGGGAGAGGGAUGUAGAAUUCCAGGUGUAGCGGUGAAAUGCGUAGAUAUCUGGAGGAAUACCGGUGGCGAAGGCGGCAUCCUGGACCAUUACUGACGCUGAGGCGCGAAAGCUAGGGGAGCAAACGGG